GGUGAAAAGAAGCUUUCCCUUAUGUUGACAACACAAAAUCUGUUCUGAGCAUCCAAAAGUUCACACCAGAGAUAUUUCUACUCUAUGGCAAUGUAUAUGCAAAUAAAGUCACAUCAAAAUGUACACCAGACUUUCAUCUCGAUAAACACAACACAAACUAUCGAGCAAAGAAGUGGAUGCACAAUAGGCCAACAUGUGCACACGAGUGCGCACAUGUGUACAGUACAGUCUUUCCUCCCAUUUUUGCUCAUGAGAAAGAGACAUCAGGUGGACACAGGGAGGGCACACUUAAACAACGGCUGUUUCGUCAUUUUCACUUGGAGAAGACAACGCAUUGGUCGUCUGCAAAGAGCUUCACCCUGGCGAUUCAUUGAUAGAACAGGAAAACUAUUUGUUCUGUUGCUUCUAGCAUGUGAUUGUCUUUCAGAAUCACUUUUAGAUGUAAAUAUCAUAUUGCGUUUAGGUUUAAUAAUAAGAGGUGAAUAAACAGAGUAACGCUAGUGAUUUACAUAACUGAAGGACUGAUCAUGGUGCUCAGCUAGUUACAGUAUAUGACAUAGCUCCAUUCAGUAAUUCAAAACUACACUCCAAAGUUGUGCGAUCAAUUAAUGACUCAACAAUUAGAAAUUUCAGGGAAACUCUUCAGCAGUUAGACUGGGAUGAGGUGUACAAAUGGGAUGAGGUGUACAAUGAACCCGAUGCUUAUUUAAAAUACAACUUAUUUCAUGAUACACUUGUAAGAGAAUUUGAAAACUGUUUCCCCAAGAAAGUAGUUAAAUCUAAUUAUAAGAAACCUUGGCUUACUAAAGGAAUAAAAAUAUCUUGUAACCACAAAAGGGAACUGUAUCUAACAACAAGAAAGAGUAAUGACCCAGAAGCAUGUGCAUCAUGUCUGAGAUUAAUACCUCUGAUAACAAAAUCAAAACAAUUGUAAUAUUAUUACAAGGGAGACAGGGCAACCAAGAGUACAGGACGGCAUUACUAUCAAAGUGAAUGGAAACUUGACAAACAACAAGCUGGAUGUUGAAAACAUUUUGGAUAAUCAUUUUUUAAAUGUUGUAGAGAAAAUAGGAUCUAAAUGUUCAUUAGAAGAAGCAAAGCAGUUAAUGGAAGAGGCCUUCCCCACACAAUUUGAUACAAUUGAAAUUCCACUUACCUGUCCAUCUGAAAUUAGGAAGAUAAUAAACUCUCUCAAGAAUAAAAGCUCACAUGGAAUUGAUGGCAUUUCCAGCAAGAUAAUAAAAGCUUGUUCCCAAGAGAUAAGUGGGAUUCUUAGCCACAUAUGCAAUAGCUCUCUGAAGCAGAGUAUUUUCCCAGAUAGACUGAAGUAUGCCACUGUUAAACCACUGCAUAAAAAAGGGGAUACGUCUGAUGUCAAUAACUACCACCCAAUCUCUUUUCUGA